rnacentral:rRNA from 1 species
UACGUAGGGUGCAAGCGUUAAUCGGAAUUACUGGGCGUAAAGCGUGCGCAGGCGGUGAUGUAAGACAGUUGUGAAAUCCCCGGGCUCAACCUGGGAACUGCAUCUGUGACUGCAUCGCUGGAGUGCGGCAGAGGGGGAUGGAAUUCCAGGUGUAGCGGUGAAAUGCGUAGAUAUCUGGAGGAACACCGGUGGCGAAGGCGGCGUUCUGGACUGCAACUGACACUGAUAAACGAAAGCCAGGGGAGCAAACGGG